GCCGGGGCCGUUUAAGCGGCCUCCCUCCCGCCCCCAGCCGCCGGGUCUGGUACUGACCCUGCCCCGACCCCCGGCUUGGCCCACUCUGGCCCUGCCCAGCGGAGCGGCUCCGUAGGGCACCCAGGCGGCCUCUGGAGCAGCUCACGCUCAUGAGGGCCGCGCGCCCCGCCACCGGCGCUGAGGAGACAGAGCUCCGGGCCCCCAAGGAGGAGCAGAGGAUCAAUGCUGUUCAACAAUCGGUUCCAGCGUUCUGGGUGUUGGGUACAUAAGAACACUGGCCAAGCAUGGGGCAGGAGAGAAUGUUGAAAGAGAAAAAGUUUCAUGAACCAUCGGGCUCCAGCCAAUGGCCGCUACAAACCAACUUGCUAUGAACAUGCUGCUAACUGUUACACACAUGCAUUCCUCAUUGUUCCGGCCAUUGUGGGCAGUGCUCUCCUCCAUCGGCUGUCUGAUGACUGCUGGGAAAAGAUAACAGCAUGGAUUUAUGGAAUGGGCCUCUGUGCCCUCUUCAUUGUUUCCACAGUAUUUCACAUUGUAUCAUGGAAAAAGAGCCACUUAAGGACAGUGGAGCACUGUUUUCACAUGUGUGAUAGGAUGGUUAUCUAUUUCUUCAUUGCUGCUUCUUACGCUCCGUGGUUAAAUCUCCGUGAACUUGGACCCCUGGCAUCUCAUAUGCGUUGGUUUAUCUGGCUCAUGGCAGCUGGAGGAACCAUUUAUGUAUUUCUCUACCAUGAAAAGUAUAAAGUGGUUGAGCUUUUUUUCUAUCUGACAAUGGGAUUUUCUCCAGCCUUGGUGGUGACAUCAAUGAACAACACUGAUGGUCUUCAUGAACUUGCAUGUGGGGGCUUAAUUUAUUGCUUGGGAGUUGUGUUCUUCAAGAGCGAUGGCAUCAUUCCAUUUGCUCAUGCUAUCUGGCACCUGUUUGUGGCCACGGCAGCUGCAGUGCAUUACUACGCCAUUUGGAAGUACCUUUACCGCAGCCCCACGGACUUGAUGCGACAUUUAUGACCAGUUUGUGCUGGGUCUCCAAGCCAGUAUUAACUCAGUUGUGGCACUUGGGAGUUGGGUGCUUUUGCAUGUAGGAGUCACUUGGAACUGCCUUCUUGAGUUAGUGAAGGAAUGACUGAAGGAAGAAAUGAAGGAAGAUUUGAUGGUCAGCAACAUCAAAGGGAGUACUCUUUGAGAGAACAUCAGUAUUAUCCAGAAGACAAGAAGCAAGGAGACCAAGCUGUCUCAUAAGUCAUCAGCAUGUGUACUGAACUUUUCCAAUGUGAUGAAAGAGAGGAAAUUCUUGAGACAGGCUUAAACUUCAGGUGACUUUCCCACUAUCCAGAAUCAGAGCCACCUUUCCCAUCUUGCCAAGCUCAGCCUGAGAAAACCAAAAUUAAGAACAUAAAACCUUACUACUAUUAUUAUUAGAAUGUGAAAUAAAAUGACUCAUACUCCUUAAGAUAUCUGCUAUUUGAGAUAAUUUUCUGCCCCUUACCAUGGAUGACCAAAGACUCAUUGUAUCUCUUUCCCAGACCACUCUGUUUCCUGAUGCAUCAGAACAAAUUGAUAACACCUUAGGAGGUGAAAGUUAUGUCAAACAAACCAAAUCAACCAGGUGACAUCUUGAAGGACCAGAA